rnacentral:rRNA from 1 species
ACUUGCCUACGGGACGCAGCAGUGGGGGAUAUUGCACAAUGGGGGGAACCCUGAUGCAGCGACGCCGCGUGAACGAAGAAAUAUUUCGGUAUGUAAAGUUCUAUCAGCAGGGAAGAAAAUGACAGUACCUGACCAAGAAGCCCCGGCUAACUACGUGCCAGCAGCCGCGGUAAUACGUAGGGGGCGAGCGUUAUCCGGAUUCAUUGGGCGUAAAGGGAGCGCAGGCGGCACGGCAAGUCCGGUGUGA